CACGUAGGGGGCAAGCGUUGUCCGGAUUUAUUGGGCGUAAAGAGCUCGUAGGCUGUUCGAUAAGUCGGGUGUGAAACCUCCAGGCUCAACCUGGAGACGCCACCCGAUACUGUCAUGACUAGAGUCCGGUAGGGGAGCGUGGAAUUCCUGGUGUAGCGGUGAAAUGCGCAGAUAUCAGGAGGAACACCAGAGGCGAAGGCGGCGACCUGGACAAGUACUGACACUCAACUGCGAAAGCGUGGGGAGCAAACAGG
rnacentral:rRNA from 1 species